CCUACGGGAGGCAGCAGUGGGGGAUAUUGCACAAUGGGGGGAACCCUGAUGCAGCGACGCCGCGUGGGUGAAGGAGCGUUUCGGCGCGUAAAGCCCUAUCGGCAGGGAAGAAGAUUACUGUACCUGGCCAAGAAGCCCCGGCAAACUACGUGCCAGCCGCCGCGGUAAGACGUAGGGGGCAAGCGUUAUCCGGAUUUACUGGGUGUAAAGGGGGCGCAGACGGCAAUGCAAGCCAGGAGGGAAAGCCCGGGGCCGAACCCCGGGACUGCCCUUGGAACUGCAUGGCUGGAGUACAGGAGGGGCGGGCGGAAUUGGUAGUGUAGCGGUGAAAUGCGUAGAUAUUAGGAGGAACACCGGUGGCGAAGGCGGCCUGCUGGACUGUGACUGACGUUGAGGCACGAAGGCGUGGGGAGCAAACAGGAUUAGAUACCCCGGUAGUC
rnacentral:rRNA from 1 species